GUUGGCACAGAAUGAACAGGGAGCUCUCUCCUGGCAUCACCCUAUACCUUUCCAAAAAUGGAGACUUGGGUCUGAGGUAUAUUGACACCCCAAACUCUUGUUAACAGGUUGCUGCUUGCUACAAUUUACAUCAAUGAAGAAUGGAUCCCUCUGGACUGAGAAGGCUCAGGAAGCUUACAGUACGUGCUUGGAAUUUCUCAUGCUGAAGACUGAAUCUACUCUACAGGCGGCAAACACAACAUACAAAAGACAAGGAUGACAUCCAAAACUCUAUGACAACAAAUUAUUUCACAGGCUCUAAGCAAUUAAAAACAUUGCUAAGGCAGCCAGCAAGAGUGGCUCUGAGGGUCAAGGUCCUUGGGGCCAAGCUUGAGGACCUCAGUCAGAUCCCAAACCUCACUACAGAAAAGAGAACUGGCUUGUGCAAGUUGUCCUUUGACCUCCGCACAAGUCAGGUAUGCUCCAGCAUGCACCCCAUCACAAAUAAGUAUAAAAAAGUUUAGAAUAUUUCUAAAGGAAAAAUGGCUCUGAGCCACAUGAGCACUACAUUUGUCUCACAUCAAGGAGCAAAGGAUUUACAUUUGUGCAUUUCUCUGAAGAACUAUAAAUAAAUACCCAUCUCAACAACAAGUGCACAGUAGGGAAGAGUGGGGUUGUCUGCAACUUACAUUGAAUUUUAGAGAAUGAGUUCAUGGUGAACAAGAGGACAGACAGAUGAAGGCAGGCAGAAUUAACAUGUCAGUGAAAAAAUAUAACAGGGAAUACACAGCAUUCGCUGUAUGAUCUUACAAAUUUUCUGAUGUUCAAAAUUCUGGUAAUAAAACUG
rnacentral:lncRNA from 1 species